rnacentral:tRNA from 1 species
ACAUUUUUAGCUUAAUGGUAAAGCAGUUGUCUUCGAAGCAUUUGAUAUUGGUUCGAUUCCAAUAGGAUGUC